GAGCCCACACUCAAGCAAGUGGAGACAAACAGAAACAGGAGACAGAGAAGUUCAAUCCGGGGUGUUGUGGGGGCCCACACAGGGGCACCCAGCCCCGUAGGCAGCUUCAGGGAAGGCUCCUGGAGGAGGCAAUGCCUAGGCCGAGUCUGGAGCUGAGUAAGACCCAGCCAGAGAAGGUGAAGGGAAAGACACGUCAAACUGGGGCACCAAUUAUAGAGUCUCAGGCCUUGAAACCAAAGGGUGUGUUCAUGAACAGAAGCAGCUUUCUAUCACUGGGUAGUUCAGAGAGGCAGGAGUGACCAGCAUUGAGAGGCACUGGGAGGAGUAGUGGAUGGUGCAAGCCUAGCCUCUUCAGGGAGACAGGUAUGGUUUUUGUUGUUAAUACUAUUUCAUCUCCAUUUUAUAGAAGACACACACGAGGCUCAGGACAUAUCAGGAACUUGCCUGUGGUCACAAUUAUAGAUCCUACAAGUGAAGAUUUGAGCCCACACAGGCCAGCACCGGAGCUGCCUGGGCCAGGGGCAGUCAUCAAUUUUGAAUUUUUUUCGGCUGAGCACUUAGAGAAAAUCAUAUAAUGAAGGUGGAUGUAUCCAUUACCCAGCUUCCAUAUCAACUCAGGACAAGUCUUGUUUCAACCAUACUCCCUCAUCUACUGUGUGUGUCUGUAAAAGAUAAGAACUAUUUUCAAAAAGUAGCCACAAUACCAUUAUCAUACCUAAAAAAACAAUAAUUCUUUAAUAUCAUUAAAUGCCCAGUGAGUGAUUUCCAGUUAUCUCCUAAAAACAGAAAUUAUUUUUGUAAUAAGAAAAAAAAGGCUGAAAAAGAUAAAAUUGUCAAUCCAAAGAGCAGAUUAGUACAAGUUUCCUGGAGCUUUGUUUAGUGAUACUUAUCAAGAGCCUUAACAAUGUGCUUACCUUUUGCCCUAGUAAUCCCAACCUGUGAAUUUAUUCUAAGAAGAAAAAAGAACAUUGAAGAGGUAUACAAACAUUGUUCACUAGAGUGUGCAGUGUCUGUUACAGAGAAGUUGUUUGAAAACUAUUUGUUGAGGCCAGAUGUGGUGGCUUACAUCUGUAAUACUAGUACUUUGGGAGACUGAGGCAGGAGGAUUGCUUGAGGCCAGGAGUUCCAGACCAGCCUGAGCAACAUAGCAAUACCCCAUCUCUACAAAAACAUUUUUUAAAAAUUAGCCAGGCAUGGUGGCUCAUGCCCAUAAUUCUAACUACUUGGGAGGCCAAGACAGGAGGGUUGCUUGAACCUAGGAUUUCAAGGCUAUAGUGAGCUGUGAUCACAUCACUAAAACUCCAGCCUGGAUGACAGAGCAAGACCCUAUCUCAAAAGAAAAAAAAACAAACCACAAUUUUUUUUGAAUUUGAAGUUGAGCUCCUGCUGUGGUUUGCAGCUUUGUUUGUAAAAGAAAAGCUGAAAGUCAUGGAAGUGUGUGACAUUAGGGUACUGGCUAAAUAAAUGAGGGCAGAUCCAUAAAAUGAAACAUUGUUCUGUCAUGUAAAAUCAGAUUCUAAUAAUACACAUAGAUAACCACCGCUUCCAAGAGGCAGAACUUCAUCCUCAUCCUCUAAUGGACUAUGGAAAGAAGAAAAACAGUCCUUUUACAGUGAAGAAACUCAGCAGAUGCUCCCUCAACAUCGCUGGUGGUAAGUCUUGUGGCUACUGGGUACCCCCUGAUACAAUGACAGGGGCACCUCACCUCUGUGAUCUUUUACCCAAAAACUAAUAACCUCAGUCUCAUGAGAAAAACAUCAGACAAACUCAGAUGAGGGGCAUUCUACAAAAUACGUGAGCAGCACUCUUCGAAUGUGUCAAGGUCGUGAAAAACAAGAAAAGACUCAGAACUGUUAGGGACCAGAGGAGCCUCAGGAGAUGACGGAGACUGAAUGCCAUGUGGGAUGCCGGAUGAGAUCAUGGAACAGAAAAAGGGCAUUAGUGGGAAACUGGCGAAAUCCUAAUAGAGUCUGUCGUCCAGCUAAUAAUGUUUUACUAAUGUUAACUUUUUAGUUUUGACAAAUGUAGCAUGAUUAUGUAAGAUGUUCACAUUAGGGGAAGGUGGGGGAAGAGUAUGGGAACUUUGUGGAACUUUGCUGUAAAUCUAAAAUCACUAAACAAAAAUUAUUCAAAAAAUCAGGGUGUAGAUAUUUAUUAGUAUAGAAAUGUAUUCACAACAUAUUAAGGGGAAAGUAUGUAUGGCCUCACAUAGUUUUUGCUGAAUGAGACCGUAUUUGUAAAAACUCUAAUAACAAGGUGUAUGUCUACAUGAAUGUGUAUAUAUGCACAUGUAGGCUGGGCACGGUGGCUCAUGCCUGUAAUCCC
rnacentral:lncRNA from 1 species